rnacentral:rRNA from 1 species
UGGGGAAUAUUGGACAAUGGGCGAAAGCCUGAUCCAGCCAUGCCGCGUGGAUGAAGAAGGCCCUAGGGUUGUAAAGUCCUUUCGGUGGUGAAGAUAAUGACGGUAACCACAUAAGAAGCCCCGGCUAAUUUCGUGCCAGCAGCCGCGGUAAUACGAAAGGGGCUAGCGUUGUUCGGAAUUACUGGGCGUAAAGCGUGCGCAGGCGGCUUGUCAAGCCAGACGUGAAAGCCCCGGGCUCAACCUGGGAAUGGCGUUUGGGACUGACAGACUGGAGUGCGGCAGAGGGAACUGGAAUUCCUGGUGUAGCAGUGAAAUGCGUAGAUAUCAGGAGGAACACCAAUGGCGAAGGCAGGUUCCUGGGCCAGCACUGACGCUCAUGCACGAAAGCGUGGGGAGCAAACAGGAUUAGAUACCCAAGUAGUCCCUGAGCGGGCUGGCAAGGCGCAU